AUUAAAAACCAAUGCCCUUCGGGGCUCUCUGGUGAUUCAUAAUAACUUCUCGAAUCGCACGGCCUUGCGCCGGCGAUGGUUCAUUCAAAUUUCUGCCCUAUCAACUUUCGACGGCUGGGUCUUGGCCAGCCGUGGUGACAACGGGUAACGGAGGGUUAGGGCUCGACCCCGGAGAAGGAGCCUGAGAAACGGCUACUACAUCCAAGGAAGGCAGCAGGCGCGCAAAUUACCCAAUCCCGACACGGGGAGGUAGUGACAAUAAAUACUGAUACAGGGCUCUUUCGGGUCUUGUAAUUGGAAUGAGUACAAUUUAAAUCCCUUAACGAGGAACAAUUGGAGGGCAAGUCUGGUGCCAGCAGCCGCGGUAAUUCCAGCUCCAAUAGCGUAUAUUAAAGUUGUCGAGGUUAAAAAGCUCGUAGUUGAACCUUGGGCCUAGCCGGCCGGUCCGCCUCACCGCGUGCACUGGCUCGGCUGGGUCUUUCCUUCUGGAGAACCGCAUGCCCUUCACUGGGUGUGCC
rnacentral:rRNA from 1 species